rnacentral:tRNA from 1 species
ACCGAAGUAGCUCAGUUGGGAGAGCGUUGGACUAUAGAUCGAAAUGUCUCUGGUUCACUCCCGGGUUUCGGCA